AUGAACGCUGGCGGCGUGCCUAAUACAUGCAAGUCGAGCGAACGGACGAGAAGCUUGCUUCUCUGAUGUUAGCGGCGGACGGGUGAGUAACACGUGGAUAACCUACCUAUAAGACUGGGAUAACUUCGGGAAACCGGAGCUAAUACCGGAUGAUAUUUUGAACCGCAUGGUUCAAAAGUGAAAGACGGUCUUGCUGUCACUUAUAGAUGGAUCCGCGCUGCAUUAGCUAGUUGGUAAGGUAACGGCUUACCAAGGCAACGAUGCAUAGCCGACCUGAGAGGGUGAUCGGCCACACUGGACCUGAGACACGGUCCAGCCUCCUACGGGAGGCAGCAGUAGGGAAUCUUCCGCAAUGGGCGAAAGCCUGACGGAGCAACGCCGCGUGAGUGAUGAAGGUCUUCGGAUCGUAAAACUCUGUUAUUAGGGAAGAACAUAUGUGUAAGUAACUGUGCACAUCUUGACGGUACCUAAUCAGAAAGCCCCGGCUAACUACGU
rnacentral:rRNA from 1 species